ACCAGCUUCCCCCCCCAGCGCAGAGAGCAGCAGCUGAUUAAUGGGAGGGAAGGUUGUCUUCUCCGAGAAAGAAGCCUUUUGCUAGGUAAGCUCAGGAGAACUCUCAUAAAUGAGCAGGAAAAACCUCAUUUGUAGGUGACCUGAAACCUACGCAGGAAAGAGAGGUUAGAUUUCUUGCCUCGGUAGAUAAAUAACUUAUAACUUCAGUGGGCUCUAGUUUAGUCCUUAGUCUGUAUUUAGCUCAGUUAAUAGAACUGGAAAGGUCUCGUAAACCCAAUCACAACUAAAUUCUAGAAAGAUCUCUGCAGUAACUGUAAACACUCAUUUCAAACAGUGUGCAAUCAGCAAAUUUGUCAUAUUGUUCAUUAAAUUUUAUGAAAUCUCUCUACCAUAAUGCCCUGCACCAAGUAAGUAAAAUGCUGACCUCCCAAACCAGGACAUUCUUCAAAUAUUUCCCAUCUUGCAUUUUUUGUUAAAUACUUCACACUUGUAAAAAUGUCAUGGUAUAAGAAAAAAAGCCUUUUCUUCAUCUAAAUAUCUAAUCUAAACAAUUAGUUUGUGAUGAGCAGGAGUUUUGUGUUUGGUUAUUUCUUCCUGGAGGAAGAAUCAAUAGAUUGUAUUGUUGCUAUUCUCAAACUAGUUUUGCUAAUAAAUAUUGAAUUAUUCCUCCUCUCCUGCUUUUUUGCAAACCUGUCAGAGAUUAAAUAGAUAUACAGGAGAUGGCAGAAGCAGCACACAAAAUUUGGAUGGUGUGCUUGGCACCUUUUAAAACACUUGGUGGAGCAGAUGAGAGUUUAAAGAGAGCAGUCUAAUUAGUAUUAGUCAGGGACAGAUGCAGAAGAACUUUGAAAACUGGAAAGAGAGGAAAUCAUUAGGAAAUUUGGGCUAUAGAAAUGGAAUUCUAACUCUCAGCUAGGCAAAAUUCCUCAUGGAAGCCAAGGAAGCCAAAGUCUGCAUUGUAGUAUGCACAAAGUUUUAAUGUUCACUUGUGAAGACACCCCAAAUGUCAUCUCUCUCUCCAAACCUAAUGGUAACAACCUCUUUUAGAAUGAUGAGACUUUGAACACAACAGCAAUGGAAAUGGUUUCAAAUAGUGAUAAGAUGUUAUUUUUAAAACACUGACAGAAUGCCUCAUAGCAGAGGAGAUAAUUUAGGACAAAGAAAUCCAUCGGGGUUUUGACAGAUAAUGAACCAAAAUCCAUAUCUAAACAAAGAAAAUAUCUAAGGAUGUAUAGGAGAUGGUAAGAAGCUCGUGCAAAGAUGGAAGGGGGGAGUUCAGGCAAAGUCCAUGGUGAUGUUCUAAGUAGGUAAGAGAUGGCAGUUAAGGAUAAUAAGGCAACAUUCAAACCUAAUGUAUUAUGCAAAAAGGGUCCGGUGGAAGAAAUUCAUAGCAAGUUCAUGGUCAUAGCAAAAAAAUGGACUAUUAUGUGAACGUUUAAAAUGAUUUAAGUAUAUGCAAUUUUAUUGCAAGUUAAAACAUGAGUGUUUGUGUAAAAAGGCUAUAUAUUGCCAACACUUUUACCUGGCUAACUUAGAUCUCCUCCAAGGCUUUUGAACGGUGGAGUUCAACAGUGCAUGUGGAAAACUUUUAUUUCUUGAAUACCAGAGCCAACACAAUUUUAUUCAGAAACAUUUGCUUCCUUUCUUUCAUUGUAAGAGAAAGUAAGAAACUUCUCCAUCUUUUCUGUUAUUUCCCUGGUAUUUAUGUUCAGGUUUCAUAAGGAAACCAAUUUGUUUGUUGAUGGAUUUGGUGUGCGCUUCAAUUCUUUGUCAUCAGUCAAUGAGUCAGUAACCAGUAAAUAUAUUUUGACUGAAAAGUCCUGGUUUCUUUCAAGAAUUCUGCUAAUAGCUCCUGCAGAACUAGCCAGGUAACUAUAUUAUUUCACAGGACAGUGGGUCGUCAUUGAAAUGAACCUUUGAAACUCCUGUUGAAUUCUGUUGACUCAAAUUGGUUUCAGAGGCCAUACUAUUGUGCAAAACCUAUUCUCUGCCUUCAAGUUUGCUUUUUCCCUGAAGACCUUCCAGAGAAGCACCUUUGCUUCUGAUCUGAAACCUAUGCUACCCUCCAACUUCGUCUAUUAUCUUCUCUUUUGUGCUGUUAGUUGCUUUGGAAGUUAAAAAAAGAAACUGAUCUCUUGAUAGGGUUUUGACAAAAGAUAUCUAUCUUGUGUUAAGAGGCUUAACUUGGUGUGUUUGGUUUGUUGAAUUGAAAGCUGUUUAAAAGGUAGUGAUGGUAUCCUUACAAAAUACUUAUGAGACUGGGAUGCCUUGAUGCCAAGUAUUUUGACAGGACACUUUGUGAUGCUUAGGUAAUUUUUUAUAAGGAACACUGAAGUCCUGCUCUUGUUUCAAAGACACAACAGAUUUAAAGGCAAUCAAUGAAGUUUAACCAGAAAAAUAAAGUGCCUCAAAUGUAUUGGGGCACCAAUACAGAGAACCAGUGUUCUGGUUUAACCUGGCCAGCAGCUAAAACAACCACACAGCUGUUUGCUCACUUCCCCCCCACCCAUAAAAAAAGAGUAUGCUUAAGGGGCAGUUUCAUGCUUAUUCAUGCAGUGUGUUUCCCUCUCUAUCCAUCCGCUUAGGUAUGGUAGAACAAUUGGUUAGCACAAAAAUUGUUGUAUUUCAGAAUGCUUAUUUUUGGCAUUAAAAGCGUUAAUACUGUCUUGAUUCUUGCUGAAGUUGGUGGCUUUCUGUGACUCGUGAUUUUGUCAAAGCAGAAAUAACAUGGAUUAAUUCUCUUAUCUAAUCUGACAGUCAACAGCUCUCUUUCUUUGUUCCACCAGCCACUGCAGUCCUUGGUCUUGCUCAUAAAUCUUUUGUUCCUGAACACAUAUCUGUUUUACAGGCAUUGUUUUUCAGCAGGUAUCUGCAAGGGCUCUGUUGUCGCUGAAACUUCAUCUCUUCUCUGCUGUUCCUUCAAAUACCCAUUCUUCUUCAGCUCUAUCCCUAUUUUUCAGAACACAUGGAAACUGAAGACAUUUCAGAUCAUAGCCUAAGUGAGGGACCUGAGCUCCUUCUGUGAUCAACAGAGAGAAAAGAGCAUCUGAGAGGUGUUCAUGUUUGACUGGAAUGUUUAGUCAUCACUUCCUCAGAUGCUUCUCCCAGCUGAAAGAAACCUCAGGUGGACCAUUCAAACGAUUUUGAAACUGAACUGCAUCUAUUUUCUUGUAAUGUCAGUCCAUCAGAAAUUAUAGACCAAAACCUAGCUUCCUGCCAAGAGCUGAGAAGAUUUCACAAUGGAUGUAGAAGAUAGAAAUGCCUCAAGCAAGUAUUUUGGGUGGUUUUCUUUUCCUCUCCCAUGGUUACAAAGAACUAUACAAUAUCCAAUGGAGAGAAAUUACUCUUUUUAUUAUAUUUAGUAGGAUAUAUUUUAGUAACAAUUAUUCUUAAACCUACCUGCAUAUUUUCUUAAUUUUAAUAACUUCUGUUGAGGUGUAUAUGGUAUGUGGCAAAAUAGGUAAUUAUGAAUUUGUGAUGAAUUUAAAUGGUUGCAGUUCAAUUCCUUAACUUUCAGCACUCCCAUGAGCAGAAUGCUGUACUCACAAUCUCCUGCAGGUACAGCAUGCCAGGACAGCUUGAUUUACACACUGUAAUGGUUCAGAUGACAGCAGGCUUGAAAGAACUAAAUUUUAAAGACAGAUAUUGCAGGUAAACCCAAACAUGCUGAUACUUAAUCAAACUUGGUCUGACUAUAUUAAUACUUCGUUUUUAAAUUCCAAGACUUACAAUCCCGUAUGGCUAGAAGGAUAGGGAGUUUGUUUUGGACAAACUAAAAGGAUAUAGCCUAGGUCAUGCCAAAGUUGUCAGCAACACCAUUUGUGUCCAUAUCAUAAUAAAGAUGAAGAUUUACUUAUUGCAAGUGAAUAAGUCGUCAACUCAUACUCUGAGCCAGGCAGGUGGAGAGCUUUUGAAGGGUCUGUCUUAGGCCUUCCCUACUUACGUAACAGAUCCCCUUGAGAGAUGCAAAGGCUUUUCUAAUUUCAAAACUCAGAUGAAGUAACUCAUUUGAGUCAUGAAUUAAUAGAGGUCACUUUACCUACAACUUUACCUACAACUUUACAAACAGGUCCUGCUGCAAAAAGGGAUAAUGAGCAACGCACUGUUGUCCUGCCUGUGCUUUGUAAGAAGGAAGAAGAACACACAGAAAAUGCAGAGCCGUGAGCAACAGUAGCUCUGAGAGUCGUAGUUAAGUUGAGCCCCUUCUGCUAGACUACCUCUUCAAAUGAAGUGUUCCCAUUUAAUGUUCCUCGACAACAGCUGUCUGCUGGAGAUUGGCCUUAGCUUGCUUCGAAACAUUUGUGACUGUGAGACUGGAGAAACUUGGGAUUCAUGCAGGGGUUUUUUUUUGCUAGGCUGGGCCCCUGUUGCUCUAUCUCUUUUUGUCUAAAUGCUGUCUACAUCAGUAACAGCUUCCACUGGAUGAAGUUCACAGCAUGCAGUUGAUUUCUUAGUACCUAAGUGAUUCUAGAGACUGGCAUACUGUAUUUCCUUUAAUAAAAUUUAAUUUUCAUAGGCAAUGAAACUAUGUAGAUAAAAUGAAGGGAUCUCAUAGGCGUAGAAACUAUGUAGAUAAAAAGAAGGAAUCACUUCUAAAAACUUUUAAGAUAUGUCCUAAUGGAAAGAUUAAAUUAUACUAAUUUCCACUUUGCCUCAGCCCAAGUUCCCCAAAGGGACUUAUUUAUCUGAUUGCUAUAGCAGGAUUAAAAGCCGUCCCUGCGUGCCUCCAGCCUGUCGCAGGAGCAGAGUUCAGAAGAUUGCGUGUGGAGAAGACUGGAAUUAGCCAAGACAGGAAAUUUAAAGGACAGUCUGUCUGGGACAUUUAUUGACCAGUCACCUGCUGAUAGAAGGUGCCUUCUGCAAUCUGGAUUUAUAGUGCUGAAAAUAUCUUCUCUUUCAUAAAGAUCUAAAACUUGUGGGGUUGGUUUUUGGUUUUUGGUUUUUUUUUUUCAAAAUACAUCAGAGUUACCCUCUCCUCUAGUAAUAUAUAAGUGGCCUAGUAUAUAAAACCAUCAUCAGGAAGUGAGAAGAUUUCUCUGCUUGGACCAAAAGCAUCCAAGCCCACUUUUCCCACUUUCCAGUUACAGCCGUUGCUGUGGGGAGAGCAGUCAGUUGCAGGAGACAGAGCUUGCUGCUGAAGCCCUGCCACUUCUUCCUACGUGGACCCAGCAUCUGUCAGGAAGGACUAGCACUACAGAAAGAAUUCGGAAGUCAGAGACUCAGUUUAUAGGCAGGACAAUUGCAUUCUAGGCAUUUUUGCUGGAGAACAGGCUUGGCAUGUGUUUGAGGAGAGGUGAGGGCAGUGGUGGCUCAGGGUGCAGACAAGGGCAUCUGCUGCAGACCCUGGUCCAGCCCAGCUCCUCCAGCCCCACUGCAUCACUUACCCUGACGCACUCAUGGCAGCAGAACCACCCUUAUGGCACCCUAUUGCUUUCCUCCCAAAGGAAACAGUCCCGCCCUCGCCAAGAGGUCCCAAAGGCCCGAGAAGAGAGUUUGAGCUUGUUCCUGGUGGGAAAGGACUGCUAGAAGAAGAAGGGAGACUGCUGUUCUUACACCCUGGAAGAGCACAAAACAAGGAAGUUGAUGAGUAAAGGAGGGAAUAAAGAGCAUUCCUUGCCUUUGUUUCUCCCCCAAACACAUCCUUAAUCUGCUACAGAACCUUCUCUAAAACUAUCUGGACUCCCCUUUCCUACCCAGACCUCUGGAGAUGCCCGGACCCUUCUGACUCCUGCCUCUUGCUCAGCAACCCAUGCAGGUGUCCUCUGCCAUCCUGCUUUUAAGAGAGCCAUCUGCCCAGCCACUUCUCCCCCUCCUCACCCAAAACUGCUCAAAACAUCCUCUACCUCUCUCAGCCCUCUCUUUGCCCACCCACAUAAAAAUAUGCUCUUUCCAGUGCUCCUCCUUCCUCCAGUCCUGUUAUCUUCUCAAGAUAAACGAAUAACAAUUGUAGAUUUAGUCAUUUUCAAACUAAGAAGUGACUUCGUAGCAUAUAUAUGCAAAACUUAACUUUAACCAUCCUUCAUAUGAUUUACAAAUGGUAUUUAAGUUUUUGUUUUGUUUUAUAAAUCCUGAUAUAGGCUUAUUUUGUAUUCCAUUCAGAAAAAGACUCAUAAAAAUGUAAAGUGACUAAAAAAGAAGACAAAAGUAUGAAAUUAAUUGAGAAAUACAUGCAAAGAAACACUUAUGGGUGAAGCCCUCAGUGUUAUAUUAUUUUUUGUGUUGAACCAGUAAUGAACUUGAAAGUCAGUUUAAACUAAUUCUAAUUGAAUUUCUAUUGUGAUGCAGUUGUCAAUAGAAUAAUAGCACACAUCAGUGGGCUGUAGCUAUUUUUUUCUUUGAUCCCUAUUUCCUUCUCUUUGGCAUUUUAUAAAACAGACGUUUUUUCCUAAAAGACUCAGAACCCAUUGAUUUUUAAAGUUACCUAAGGAAUUCUGUCUUGUGAGGUGCAAAAUGAACAGGGAAAAUCACAAAAUGUGGUAAAAGCCCCCAUGGAGCCCUCUCUAAUUAACUGUGCGUUCCUGAAUGAUCCCCAGGAGUGGAGAAAGGCACUUAAACGAGGCAACAGUUUCUAUGGAAAUGAAAAAUGACCACACUAUGAAACUUCCUACAAAAAAUAGUUAGGCUGGUUGUAUGAAUUUUGUUGUGUUUGGUACAACUUUCCAGAUGCAAAACUUUUCAACUUUCAACUCUAAUAAUGACAUGGAGUGCUGUUAGUCAAAUUAAUAUAAUCUAUUUGUGCGGCUUUAUUAUCUUAACUUGUAAAAGACAGGUGGAUCGUGCUUGUCCAUUUGUGUGUGUGACCAUGGUCAGCUAAUGGUAUUUAUACAUCUUGCUGCCUUUUUGCAUAUAGUGCUGUUUAGUUAUCAUUUGAGUUAUUUUCUGUUUUACUUGUCUAUUGAUCAAUA